UUUCAGCGAGCCCAGCCAGAGCGGCCGGUCUUCCUGGUGUUCCUGGCCGUAGGUGGCCAGCAGGGCCUGGGCCUC
rnacentral:antisense_RNA from 2 species